rnacentral:lncRNA from 1 species
UGACAAAAUACAUUUUGUCAUGAUUUUUCUAUCUUUCAAUUAUUCUAAUCUGAUAAUACAUGCUAAACACUAAACAAUAGAUUCGUUUAACUCAUGAACUACGAAUGCUACGGGUUUGUCGUAAAGGCUACAGAAAACGUUUCCGCGGAACUGCUGGAAGAGUUCAAUUUACCACAAGAAUCCGUUAUUUUCCUUGGUAAUGAGUCUUGUCAAGACAUAGCCAAAAGAUUCGUGAAUGAAGUGACAAAAAUCGCAAGAAGAGUUGCUUGAUAAAACAAAAAAACACAUCAUAAUGACCAACGAAGAGGAAACAGCUCACGAGGUGACAGACUCAUGCAAUUUGUGUAAAUGUAAUUUUUCCAUCAAAAAUAAUAAAGUGAGAGAUCACUGUCACUUAUAGAGCAAAUUCAGACAAACAUCAUUGUGUAAUACCUGCAACCUUAAGCUUCAAAUACCGAAUUUCAUACCAUGCAUUUUACACAUUUUAUCGUAACCAAGUUGGGUUACGAUUCCAAAACUAUUCCGGUUAACCCAAAUAGUGAAGAAAAAUUAAUUUUCAAAACACGUGACCGAGAACUUUUUAAUAAAAUUUAUAGACUCGUGCUGUUUCAUGGUAUCGAAACUAUCAACACUUGCAGACAAUUUAAUAACACCUGGGUUCGAGAAGUUCAAAGAGACAGCAAAACACUUUUACCGCAGAUAUGCAGCUCAUUACUCGUAAAGGUGUAUACCCUUAUGAAUAUACUGUUAGUUGGAAUAAGCUCGAAGAAAUGAAUUUACUAGGAAUAAGUGAUUUUUAUAGUACACUAACAGAAUCUAAUAUAGAAGAAGACCAUAAUGAAUACAACACUGUAUGGAAUCAUUUUAAAUGUAAAAAUCUCGGAGAAUAUAGUGACCUUUAUCUCAAAAUCGAUGUUUUACUAUUGACUGAUGUAUUUGAAAACCUCAGUGACAUGUGCAUUUCAACAUACAAUUUGGAUCCUGUUUACUAUUAUACCGCUUCAAGAUUCAGUUUCGACUGCAUGUUAAAAUAUACUAACAUCAAACUAGAGUUACUCACCGAAUUUGAUAUGCAAUUAUUUUUUGAAAACUCAUCUGCGGUGGGCACACAACAAGCUAGCAGGAGAUACGUUAAAGCUAAUAAUGAAAAUACCCUAGAUUAUGACAUGAAAUAGCCUAAAUCGUAGAUAGUUUAUCAAAACUACAAUAACUUGUACAGGCGGGCAGUUUUUGAGAAAACCAUGGAAUCUAUGAGGAAAUGUAUUAAGAUGCAACUAGUUUCAUGCUUAAAAAGAUAACAAAAACUUCUGAAUAAACAUUGCACCACAUACAGCAAAAACCUAGCUGUUAUUUUGCUGGAAAAUAAAAUUAUCAAGUUCUGCAAACCAAUAUAUAUAGGUUUUGCAGUACUAGACAUAAGUAAGACACAGAAACAUUAUAACGACAAAAUCAAGCCAUGUACAUAAGUACAGUAUAUUAUAUCCAGACUGACGACUUUUACAAUGAUUUGGUGAAUAAUUCUAAUUUGCUCGACCGAAUGAACACAGCAAAUCUACCCCGUGAACUGUAACUAUCCAUGUUACAUUGAUAAGAGGAAGAAGAUUUUCAGACUUUUUUCUGAUGAAACUGAUGGAUGUAUAAUGAGAGACUUUGUUGCACCCCGAGCAAAAUCCUAUGCUUAAAUUUUAUGAGAUAAGGAAAAAAUUAAAGCGGAAGGCAUCAUAUCUCGUGUGGUUUUUAAUCACAUGACAUUCAAUGAUCAUUUGAAUUGUCUUUUCAAUGAUGAUUAAAAAAACAAGUUUAAUCUGUGUAGGGAAAAUAUUUGUAUCGAAUCAUUCAAACCAUCAAAUCCAACAAAGUAUGCUUCAACUGACAAGAUGACAAAUAGAUAGUACAAUCUGAUAGAAUACAUACCUACGCUCAGACACUUUAAAAUUGAUUGUUAAUAUUAUGUCUAAAAGGAGAUUUAUUCACU